GCCGUGCACGGCGAUCGGAGGUAAGAAUCUCCUUCUUUUUUAUUUUUUUUCUAUAUUUUAUGUGUUUAUAAUAUAUGUAUAUAUAUAUGCAAAUAGAAUAUUCGAAAAACGGAAAAGAAAAAGAAAUAAAUCAAAAAAGUGUAUAGAAUAUAAUCACCUUAGUUCUUUAGAUAUCUGAUUCUUAGUAUUUGUUUUCCGAUUUAGUGUUUUUCUCUUUGAUUGGCUAUUUUGUGCUUUGUCUCACUUGAUUUUUUGUUUGUAUUUUAAAACCAAAUGUUGUUUUUAUUUCUCACAAGUGCCGACCUUGUACAAUGGUUUUAGGGGUGGCCUUUUAUAUCCACUUUCCCCUACAACUUGCUCAUUAAUAAAUUGCUCUGUCUUUCUUACAGAAAAAUGGGCGGUGCUGGUGUCAGGCAGUGGCGGUGGACAUGACAAGCGGUGGCAGACCUGGCACAGGUGGUUAGGCUAGGGUUUUCUUUAGCUUUUGUGUUUUGUGUUUGGGUUGGGGCUUUGAUUUGUUUGGGCUUAGGGUAUUUUGGGGUUAGUUGGGCUAGGUAGAUUUGGUUUUAAUUUGGGCCCGCAAAUUGGGCUUGUACAGCUGUCCCUCUUUGCUCAUUGUCGUGUAACGAGAAUAAAGCAAAGACUUUCAAGAAAGACCAAUUUUCCCGAUCGCCGAGUUUUGACCUUUUUAGUGCUCCUCUUCUUUAGGUAACAUCAUUCAGCCUAGUGCCUCCUGUUGCUUUAAUCCGCUCCAUUGCUUCGCUGCAGCUUUAGUGAGAUAAGGUUUGGUUUUGAUCUGCUCUAUUGCGACUUCAGAGAGAUAAGAUCUGUUUAUUUACAGCUUCAAUAUAUUCCACUACAACUUCAGGGAAAUAAGAUUCGCUAUCUUCAGUCUGCUCAACUGUAACUUUAGGGAGAUAAGACUUGUGACUUCCAUCUUCUCUACUAAAACUUUAAGGAGAUCUGUUGUGGCUUUGAGCCGCUCCAACGCCAUCUCAGGGAGAAAAGAUGUGUAAUUUUCGGCCUGUUACCCUACUGCAUAAGGGUUCAAGGCCCAUCAUCUCUGAUCUGUUUCCCUACUGCUUAGGGGGUUAAGAUCCUUCGUCUUCGAUCUGCUCCACUACUGCUUAGGGAGAUAAGAUCUGCAAUUCAGUCUGUUACCUUACUGCUUAGGGGUUUAAGGCCCUUCAUCUUCGAUCUGUUUCCUUACUGCUUAGGGGGUUAAGAUCUGUAAAUCUUCAGCCUGUUACCCUACUGCUUAGGGUUUAAGGCCCUUCAUCUUCGAUCUGUUUCCCUACUACUUAGGGGGUUAAGAUCUGUAAAUCAGUUCUAUAUGUUUAUGCUUAUGCCAAAGAAUUAGGAUGCUAUGAUCGAAAUGAAUCAAAUGUUCCUAAUUGGAUAAGCUAUUAAUGAACUAUAAAUGCAUAAGUGCAGCAUGUUGUGAGCACGAAUCUCUUUUUUAAUGUACGAGUUGUCAUUGCUCUUUGUUCAUCAAGGUUCGAUCACUAAAAUGGUACCCCGUCUUCGUGUUCAGCUUAGAUCUUUAAACAGAAAACCUGAAGAGGUAGUCUCAAUUUAAACUCUUUUUUCUCAAAGGUUUCCAAUCUUUAAGUUUGGUUAGUUCUAAAUAAUAGCCCUGUUUCAGGUUCCUGUACUAUUUAAAAACUUUUAGAGUAAUAUGUAAACUCUUUUUGCGAAAAUGACUUUAGUCCAUUAAUCAUCAUUUCAAUGCAAAAUGCUUGGAAAAGAUCACAACAAUGACAGAACUGAAAUUUUUCAGAAACAAAAUUUGAAGGGAAUAGAUUAAUCACGGACAACAAAUAUUGCUAGAACACAAAAUGAAUAGAAAGAAAAUAGGUGCCCCAGAUAUCGCAGCGUGAGCUUCUUUGUACGAACUUCUUGAGGAUUCCCUUUUUGCCCAAUGUGUGUUUAGGAGAUCUAGAGUACCUUUGUAGAUGACCCGAGAUGUAGCAUACUUUUUUAUUGUUAAUUCAGGCAUAGCAAGACUGCUGUAUGCCCCACUUUGAUCCAAAUUUGAGCCGCCCUUUUUGGCUUUUCAACUCAAAUCCCCUUUGGUCUCAAGGCACCAUUUGCUGGUUUUCGCCUUGGCUUCUCCCUUUUUUUCUUUUUAGGUGAAGUACUUCUUAACCAAAUCUAAUUCACAGGAUUGGGUAAAGUCUUUCCAUCUAUUUCGGCCAAUAUCAAUGCUCCUCCAGAAAAGGCCUUCUUUACCACAUAAGGUCCUUCCCAAUUAGGCAUCCAUUUUCCUCUGAAAUCCUUUUGUAUGGGCAGGAUCUUUUUCAAUACUAGGUCUCCCUCGUAGAAUUCUCUAGGACGAACCUUUUUGUUGUAAGCUGGCAUCAUUCGCUUUUGGUACAUCUGACCAUGGUGGAUAGCCCUUAGCCUCUUUUCUUCUAUUCAGCUUCAUCCAACUUUACUUCUGACAAAACUCUGAGGGAAGGAAUCUUGACCUCGAUAGGUAAGACCGCCUCCAUUCCAUAAACCAAUGAGAAAGGCGUUGCCCCGGUGGAAGUCCUGACGGACGUUCGAUAAGCGUAAAGGGCGAAUGGUAACUUUUCAUGCCAGUCUUUAUAAGUCUCAAUCAUUUUUCCCACAAUCUUCUUAAUGUUCUUAUUAGCCGCUUCAACUACACCGUUCAUCUUCGGAGGGUAUGGUGACGAGUUGUGGUAUCUGAUCUUGAACUGACUGUAGACGUCUAUUAUCGUGCUGUCGUUCAAAUUUAAUGCAUUGUCACAUAUGAUUCUUUCUAGCAUUCCAUAUCGACAGAUAAUUUCCUUUUUCAGGAACUUGCUAACUGUCGAUUUUGUAACAUUGGCAUAUGAAGCAGCUUCUACCCACUUGGUGAAAUAGUCAAUGACCACAAAGAUGAAUCGAUGCCCAUUUGAAGCUUUUGGUGAAAUUGGCCCGAUCACAUCCAUGUCCCACAUCGAGAAAGGUCAUGGAGAAGUCAUGACAUGUAGAGGUGAAGGAGGCACAUUAAUCCUGUCUCCAUAGAUUUGGCACUUGUGACAUCUUUUGGCAUAGUUAAUACAGUCUCCUCCCAUAGUGGACCAAUAAUAACCAAACCUCAUAAUUUGCCUAGCCAUUGUAAAGCCAUUAGCGUGUGUCCUACAGACGCCCUCAUGGACUUCUUCUAAGAUUUUCUUAGCCUCAAUAGCAUCUACACAUCUCAACAGUACCUGAUCCUUCCUUCUUUUGUAUAGGAUCUCCCCGUCCAAGACAUAGUCACUGGCUAGCCUUCUCAGAGUUCUUUUGUCGUUCUCAGUAGCUUGGUCGGGGUACUCACGACUCUUCAUAUAUUGCAGGAUAUCGUGAUACCAAGGGUGAUCAUCAUUUCCUUCUUCUUCUUCGAGGUUGUAACAAUGAGCCGGUGCCUCGUAAAUGCUCAUUUGGAUUGGUUUCACAUCCUCUUGCUUAUUCACCUUGAUCAUAGAAGCUAAAGUUGUCAGGGCGUCAGCCAUCUGAUUUUCUUUUCGCGGGAGGUAGCAGAAGACAAUAUCAUCAAACUCUUUAAUUAAUUUAAGGAUCAGCCUUCGAUAAUUGAUCAACUUGGGGUCUCUCGUCUCCCAUUUACCUUUGAGUUGAUAAAUCACUAAGGCAGAAUCUCUAUAUACCUCUAACACCUUGAUUUUACGUUCUAUGGCCGUGCGUAUUCCCAUGAUACAUGCUUCGUAUUCUGCCAUAUUGUUCGUGCAGUCAAAAUCCAAUUUACUAGUGAAGGGAUAAUGAUCUCUGUUUGAGGAUAUCAGGACUGCCCCGAUUUCGUUGCCCACAGCAUUUGAUGCUCCGUCAAAGUUUAGCUUCCAAGGAUGACCCUCUUGAGGGUCUUCUUCAGUGGUUACUAUGUACAUUAGAUCUUCAUUUGGGAAGUCAAAUUUCAGAGGCUCGUAAUCCUCUAGGGCUCUACUGGCUAGAAAAUCUGCUAUCGUACUCCCUUUUACGGCCUUUUGGUUCAUAUAGACUAUAUCGAAUUCAGAAAGUAGAAUUUGCCAUCGGGCCAUUCUCUCGUUUAAAGAAGUCGACUCCAUCAACUAUUUCAAAGGAUCUAUUUUAGAAAUUAGCCAAUUUGUAUGGUACAACAUGUAUUGUCUUAGUCUUCGGGUUGUCCAGAUUAGGGCGCAACACAAUUUUUCAACUGGCGAGUAUCUUGUUUCACACUCAGUGAACUUUUUACUGAGGUAAUAUAUCGCCCUUUCUUUCCUUCCUGACUCAUCGUGCUGGCCAAGAACACAUCCCAUAGAUUUUUCAAACACCGUUAAAUACAAUAUCAAUGGUUUGUCUGGACUAGGUGGUGUCAACACUGGGGCAUUGGAUAAAUAUUGCUUAACAUUGUCGAAAGUCUUCUGGCACUCCUCAUCCCAAACACCAGGGUUGUGUUUCUUAAGGAGACAGAAUAUGGGGUUACAUUUCUCGGUUAGUUGUGAAAUAAACCGAGUGAUGCAGUUUAAUCUUCCUAGGAAUCCCCGAACUUCCUUUUGAGUACGCGAUGGAGGUAACUCUUGUAUGGCUUUGACUUUAUCUAGGUCAAUCUCAAUCUCUUUUUCACUGACUAUGAAUCCUAGCAGUUUUCCUGACCUGGACCCGAAGGUACACUUUGCUGGAUUGGGUUUCAGCUGGAAUUUCCUCAAUCUCAAAAAUAAUUUCCUCAAGACUUGCACAUGCUCCUCUUCUGUCCGAGAUUUGGCGAUCAUGUCGUCAACAUAGACUUCAAUUUUUUAUGCAUCAUAUCAUGGAACAAGUUUACCAUGGCUCUUUGAUAUGUUGCUCUCGCAUUUUUCAGUCCGAACGGCAUCACCUUAUAGCAAAAUGUUCCCCACAUGGUUACAAAUGUGGUCUUAUUCAUGUCCUCAGGAUGCAUCUUUAUCUGAUUGUACCCUGAGAAACCAUCCAUGAAGGAGAAAAGUGAGUAACCUGCCGUAUUGUCCACUAAAGUGUCGAUAUGAGGCAACAGGAAAUUAUCCUUUGGGCUGGUUUUGUUUAAGUCCCUGUAGUCUACACAUAUUUGUACUUUUCCAUCUUUCUUAGGGACGGGGACAAUAUUGGCUACCCAUUCUGAGUACUUAACUACUUGUAAGAAACCAGCAUCAAAUUGCUUAUUGACCUCCUCUUUUAUUUUCAACAAAACAUCGGGCCGCAUCCUUCGAAGCUUUUGUUGAACUGGCUUGCAUUCUUCUUUGAUGGGGAGCCUGUAUACCACGAUGUCAGUACUUAGUCCAGGCAUAUCUUGAUACGACCAUGCGAAGACAUCCUUUAACUCUUGGAGUAACUCAAUAAGGUCUCGAUUUGUCUCCAUGGUAAUACAAGCUCCGAUCUUUACUUCUUUCUUUUCUAAUUCAUCUCCCAAGUUCACGACUUCCACUGUCUCCUUGUGGGGUAGAAUCUGUUUCUCCUCUUGUUCUACCAUUCUUAACAAAUCAGGGAAUAAGCCACAGUCUUUUUCAUCCUCAAAGUCCUGAGAUCCCUCUAGAUACAUAUCCCGCUCAAAAGAAGACUCUGAGUUAGUAGCAACGUCGCUCAUAUCGUUGAUAUCUGGAGACCUGUUGUAGGUGCGAAGGAAGAUACAAAGAACAACAGAAUCUAAGAACAAUGAUAUGUAUGGUAUGAUCAUGAAUGAAAGAAUAAAAGAAUAUUUGCAAAAGAUAAGACAAAAAGAUGUAUCUCAUUGAAAUAACGAUUUUGAACAUAAGCCUAUUUCACAAAAAGAAGCUUAUUACUCCUAAGCCUAGAGCAAUAAGUGUGUUUUAGACAUCACUCUGAGUUAGUUCUAAAGACUACAGGAAUCUCUUCCGCAAUCCAAUUAUUCAGAACACUUCCCAGCUCAUAAGGGCGAAUGCCCAACAAAUUCUCUACUCCAAUUUCUUCUUUGUAUGUGGCAUUGAUGUCCAAAUUUUCCAUCAUUCUUUCCACGAUUUCCUUUCUCGACGUCUUUCACUCGGGGUGAAUGACUCCUUCAGACACAAAAGUCUUUGAAAUAUGGGGAAAGAUCAUUGGUUCCCAUUCGAUUUCUCCCCCGCUCAAUCGCGUUUUCCUUCUCUCUUGCUUUUUCUCAAGUUCUUUCUUUCUUUGUUUUGUGUCCGACUUAAAUCCUAACCCAAAACGGUCUUGUUUUUCCUUCAUCAUCGGUACAUUAAUCCUUCCCUGGAGGUAUCUCCCGAGUCCUCUUCCAACUAGGGCCCCUUUUCCAACAGUUAGUCGUAGUCCCAUUCUUGUAGUCUCAGAUAGCCUGGGCCUUGCAAUCUUAUUUCCUUCGGUAAUGAAUGUCGCAUUCACAAACUCUAAAGACCAAAAAGAGCAUUCGAUUGCUUCAUCAUUCACCUCUAAAUAUGAGGCGUCACUGGUUAUUGCUGCGAUGAUAUCUUCUUCAGCAUUGAUCGUUACUAACCGACCUUCGGUCAUUCAUUUCAACAUUUGGUGCAGCGAUGAAGGGACUGCCCCUGCUGAGUGUAUCCAUGGCCUCCCCAAUAGGCAAUUAUACGAGGGCUUAAUGUCCAUGACCAAGAAAUCUACUUCGUACGUGCUCGGCCCAAUUAAGAGGGGUAAUUCAAUUCUCCCCAUUACCUUCCUUUCCGUGCCAUCAAAUGCUCUCACUACAUUUUGGCAUGUCUUCAUAUGAGAACUAUCCACUGGCAACCUACUCAGCGUAGAUAGGGGUAGGACAUUUAGUGUAGACCUAUUGUCAAUCAAUACCCCCGGUAAUGUGUACCCUUUACAGCGAGUCGUGAUGUGCAAAGCUUUAGUCGAUCAUCGGCCUCCUAGCGGUACUUCAUCGUCAUUGAAGAAUAUGAAGUUGUCGACACUUAUAUUGUUGACUAAGCGGUCUAGUUUGUUCACAGAUAUAUCAUUAGCAACAUAAGUUUCAUUUAGCACCUUCAUCAACGCGCUGCGAUGGGUUUCGGAGCUUAAGAGUAAAGCCAGUACCGAUAUACGAACUGGCUGCUUGUGCAACUUUUCUACGACACUAUAUUCACUGUGCUUUAAAAAUUUUAAGAAUUUCUUUGCUUCUUUUUCAGUCACUGAUUUAUUAACAGUUGGUUCAGGUCCCGCCGGCUUCUCCUUCCUGUGCUCAGUCGCCAAUGACUUUCCUUUAACCUGCUCGACUUUUGUAUUUGAGGUAUAACGCCUUCCGCUGCGAAUAUAAAACCCCUCGUCUUGACCUUCCUCUGAUGAAUUAAUCGAGAUUUCUUCUCCCGGGAUUGUCACAUUGCAGCUAUAGUUCGACGGUACCCUUCUGCUAUCUUUGUAAGGGAAAGCAAUGGGCUUCUAGAUUACAACCUUUGACGCAACUUGUACCCCAGCUUCAUUCAUUCUCGGACCCGAUAUGAUAACCACUGGGUGGUUGACUUUGUAAACUUCCUUUAUCGACCCCUCUUCGGAGGCACACACAUCUGUUUCUUCUGGGCUCCCGACAUAUUCGAAGAAUUCCAGCUCCUUAUUAUCCAUCAAUCCUUGUACUAAAGCCCUAAAUUGGCUGCAUUUCUGAAUCUUGUGAUCCUCUUGAUCAUGGAACUCGCAAUAAUUCUUUGCUUCUCGAGGUCUGACCCUUGAAUUCUGUGCUAUCAACCCUCUUUCCACCAUUUUCCUCCAUACUUCUUUCAGCGGGGUAUUCACUUCUACAAUAUUCAUCUUAAUUUCUUUCCCCGAACUCUCGAUUAUCGCAUUUAUCCCCUUAUCCCCAUGGUUAGGUAAUGGAUUCUCUGCACUAGAUGUAUCAUCAAAUUUCACGAUCCCCAUGUUGAUGAGUCUUUCAACCAACUUCUUGAAAGUGGUGCAGUUUUCUAUCGAGUGUCCUGUGGUUCCCGCAUGGUAUUCGCAUUGGGCAUUUGCGUCAUACCAUUUGGGGUAUGGAGGUUGCAUUGGUUUUAGAUAGAAGGGAGACACGACAUAUGUAUCAAAAAAACUUUGGUAUAACUCCUUGUACAUCAUUGGAAUAGGCGUAAAUUGGAGUUUCUCCCUAUUUUGUUUUGUGUUGGGCUCUUGUCUGGGUGGGCCCUGCUGUCCAGUAGUUGUCGACCUUGGUUGGCUUACAGUGAUCAAUUUCAAAUAUGAACUCACAUUAUUCACUUCGUGCUCUCUCUUUCUCGGCGCUGACCUUUUGGCGUUUUCUCCAGCUUCUAUUUUCCCACAUCUUAUCGCAUUUUCUAUCAUUUUUCCAGACAUUACUAUGUCUGAAAAACUCUUGGUUGUGCUACCCAACAUGUGGUUAAUAAAAGGUGCCUUCAGGAUGUUGGUAAAGAGCAUAGUGGUUUCCUUUUCCAACAAAGGGGGUUGGACUUAUGUGGCCACCUCUCUCCAUCGUUGGGCAUACUGCCUAAAGCUCUCAUUAUGCUUUUUCUCCAUAUUCUGUAAAGUGAUUCUAUCAGGAGCUAUGUCUGCCACAUGACCGUACUGCUUCAUGAAAGCUUGUGCUAGAUCUUUCCAUGAACUGAUCUGGGCACGACUCAGUUGGUUGUACCAUCUAGAAGCGGCCCCAACCAGACUUUCUUAGAAGCAGUGAAUUAAUAGUUGGUCAUUAUUGACAUGGCCUACCAUUAGUCUGCAGAACAUAGUGAUGUGAGCUUCGGGACAGCUAGUCUCAUUGUAUUUCUCAAAUUCCGGAGUUUUGAACUUGGGAGGGAGUACCAGGUCUGGAACCAAACUUAAUUCCUUAGCAUCAAUUCCACCACGAUAGUCAGUGCUUUCCAUUUCUUUAAAUUUUUCUUCUAACCAUCUACACCUUUCUUCAAGCUCUUUCGGGAGUUCUACCCUUGUCUUUUCUAUUUCUGUUACUUUAUCGAGAUUAAAGACCACAGGGUUAGUCGGGUUAUCCCCCGGAUUAGAGCCCGAGCUAGCCUGAUAAUUCAUCGGUGCCGAAACACCGGCUUGAAAUGGUUGGGGUCUAACUGUGACCGAUAGCCUUCUUGGGUACAUAUCAGGUUGUGUCUGAACGUCUGCUGGGGCAAAACCCGGAGGGUAGGUAGGAUCUUCAUUAUCAUCUCCUCCAUUGAUCAAUGGGCUUUUUUCUUUUUCUAAUCCGCCAGCCAAUAGACGCAUUAAUUGGUCCAUCAUGCUUUUCUAGGAUUCCAGCAUCUGUUCCCUCAUAUCUUGCUGGAUUUUGGCAAGCUGUUCUUGCAUACGUGUUUGUAAUUGAUCCUGCAUCUCUUUUUUCAUUUGUUCCAAUCUCUCUAACCUUUGGUCCAUUGCUCUUGUUUUUUCUCUUGUACCAUAACGAUGUUCCAGGGUAACUGCCAUGAUUUUUAGGGUUUUUUUGUGAGUUUUAGUACGUAUGAUGCAAUGUUGAUGCAUGAAUGCAAUGAAUGCGAUGAAUGCAAAAAGCGUUGAUUCCAAUUCGAUUUCAUUAGAAUAAUUUUUCUAGAAAACAAGUUUCUUUACAUAAAAUAGAUUACAUAUAAGGCUUGACCUUGAUACUUAAGGCCUUGACCUGCCUAAGAAGCCAAGCUAGCUCUCGACCUCGGUCUGAUUCUGACUCGUAUUUUAAACUCAGCACAUCGGCUUGUACUGCUAAUGUUUACAAGUGAUCAGCCACUUCUCGCACUUGAGUCAAAGCUUGGCCCAUGACGUAGUCCCUGCUCCUGACUUGGUCUUGAGAUUGAUGAAGUUGCUCCUUCCAUCACUCGUUAUUUACCUCGAGGAGUUCAAUCUGAAGUUUACGAUUUUGCAGUGCCGUUUUAAGUUCCUUUAUAUUCUCUUUUAAUUCUUCGAUUCUGCUCUGACUAGCUUUCAACUCAAUUACAGAGUUAUGUGAACGAUACUGAUACAAGGACCUCUCUAACUCUGGCAUCCGAAUCUUUAAUCCUUCCUUCUCAUUUUGGCUUUCUACCAAACUUCUUUUCAUAGCGCCUUUUCGAGCUUGAGCAUCGUAAAAUUUUUCUUCCCAUUGGUUGGCUUUGCUUCUCUCUUCUUUUACUUAUUGUCGCCACUGUUCAGAUGUUUUUCCUAACCCGACGGUUCUCAUUGACCUACGCAGCUUCUUAUAGUCCGUUUUCAAACUGUCCAAGUCCUCUUCAGCCUUGUUUUUUCCUUUUCUGAGUCUUUCAGCUUCUAGUUUCUAGACAUCGACAUCUAACCCCAGCUGCAUUUUUUCUUCCUCCAAUUGCUCGAUCCUUUUCUCUAGCUCCAGACUCUUUCUCUCGAAAUCUUGACUGAUGAUUUCUAGCUCAGAUGGGAUUACUUUCAAGUGUUCUUCUAUCGACCGAGGAUUCCCUUGAUCUGAUGUAGGGAUAUUUUCGUUAAUCCUCUGAUCCCUCCAUCGGUCGUACUCAGGAGUAGUCAUAGGAUUGGCAGCAAACUUUUUCAUUCUACGGGUCUGGUUCUAGGCAUUUGAUAUAUCGCUAACUUUCUUUUUGUAAUUAUUCCCCGUGAAUGCGAACUCGCACUAAGCUAACCCGUAUGUUGGUGGUGUAAACUAUCUGGAUCUGUACUGUCGUAAUGCAAGCAGAAGAGCAUACCCGACGGCUCCCCAUACUCCUAACAAAAGAACCCAAUCGAAGUCUCCGUAUCGAUAUAAUAUUUCAUCAGGAAUCAUCUAUGGGGCUCUCCAUUCAACGUCUUCUUCUUGUAAAUUUCGGAGAACCGUUAUCCAAUUUUCUUCUGAAAUAUCAUCUCUCCUCGAUGUAGCUACCAACUCUUUCAGUGGAGAGUAAUUUUCAGAGAAGAUACGAUACGGGACCUUUUCCACUUUCCAAAAAUGGCUGUGGAACCAAGAUAGCAAGAGCUGUGCACAUCUGAUAAAUCUCCCUUCACCCGCUCUUCGGCAAGCAUUUAGUGAUCUGAAAGUUUCAGCUAAGAUUGCGGGUACAGGUGUGGUCCCUUUACCAAGCCUGUAAAAAAGAUCGGAAACCGCCUCAUCUGCAUGCCCCAAAGCUUUGGGGAAGACAACCAGUCCAUAAAUGCUCAGGGUGAAGACAUCUACUCUUUUCUUCACAUCGGGGUGCAAUAAGAUUAGAUCCUUUAGGUUCUUCCCAGGAAUGCAUUUACAAUCUCCUUUUUGUUUGAUCCGGGUUGUAACCCAUUGUUCGCUCAUCCCUGUGAUGUUCAUAAGUUUUUUUGCAAAUGCUGGGACGUUGGCAGGUCUGGAAUAAAUUCUGGCAACCUGAAUCUUCAGGCAAUAGAGCAAGGUCAUGUAUUCUUCUAUAGUAGGUACCAAAUCCACCUUCCCGAAAGUGAAGCAACUGUAAGCAGAAUUUCAAUAUUGGGCAAGGGCUCGAAACAGGUGUUCAUCUACCUUGACAUCGAGCAAAUAAGGUAAAUCACCGUAAUGACAAUAGAAUAGUUGUUUGACCUCGUCAUCCCACUGACCCCAAAUUUUUUUCAUCUCUUAGAGAUUGUUCUGAGUUACGCUGAUCCGAGUAAAAUCCCACAACUCUGACACGUACCCCUUAGUAAGACUGUCACCUUUCUCUUGUUGGGUUGUCUCAGCCCAUAUCCGAACAGCUGCGUUGUCCUCUACUUUAUCAAAAAAACCCCUUUUCCAUGAUAAGCUAUCUACUUAGCAACCGAAUAUGAAUCAACACCUUUUGUAAUGCAAAUGCCAUACAAAUACAAUCAAAGUAAAACAAAACAAGUCAGUAUUUCAUACGCAGUUUAAAGCAAACAAAGAAUAAUAAAUAUAGCACUUGCUUAAGUAACCACUAGGGUUUCGGAGUGGCUCUACCUAGGGUGGGUUCUUAAGGCUCGUUACAUGGGGUUCGAUUCUAGAGUAAAAGUACCUGAACCGGCAGAUUCCUCGAUCUUCACCCAUUAUAAGCUCAUACAGACCGAGUUCAGUUCAGGGGAAUACAUUUCCCUAUGGCUGCACGGAUAUGAAAAUCUCACGAAGACAUAGGUACGGAUGUAUCCCAAAAGCGAUCCACUAUCCUGCACGGAGGUGAAAACCUCACGAAGGAGUAGUUUCUCACUCCCACUUAAAGGGGUGUGACCACAGCGGUCAUGCAAUGAAAUAUGCAAACUAUUUAAAGACUCGAACCAACGCAGCAGGUAUUAUAUCAUAAACCACAAAAAUAGCUGAUGAAAUGCAAUGAAAGGAUCGUAUUUCAAAACCAAAUUUCUAAUUUUUGAUAAAAAGACAAAAGUUAAUCAACUUGUGGCUUGACUCUCUUAUUUGCUCCCCAGUGGAGUCGCCAAGCUGUCGAAACCAUUUUUGAAAAAUAGCGGUCGACUUGGAUUUUGAAAAAUGAAAACGAAUAGAGGGAGUCGCCACCAAUCCUUUUUGGUGAGGUGUGCUUGGAUCACCUUAAAUUAAUCAUUUUAAUAACAGUUAAGAUUUACUAAAACGAUAAUUUUUGGUCUACGAAAAUCAAAAAAUGAGUUCGUGAGUCGGUUACGCACGAGGAAGGAUUAGCACCCUCGAUACGCCCAAAAUUGGUUCCUAGUUGAUUAAUUAGUGUCUUAGUGUCGAAAAUUUUGAAAAUUCGAAAGAAUUUAGAAUACGAUCCCUCUAAAAAAAACAUUCGAACGUUAAAGACCUUCUCGUCUCGAAGCAACAAAAUGUUAUAUCUAGUGAGUUAGGACACAACAUCUCGAACUUUUGAGAAUGAGCUUGCCUUUUACUUAAAAAUCCGUGUAUUUUAACUACUUUUCAAAAGGAUAUUCGGUUAGUUAGGGUGAACGAGGAAAAUCGAAACCUAGUAAGUUAGGGCACAUUUCCUCGAAUUUCCAAACACCGAAUAUUGCCUUUACUUGCGAAAAAUCUUAUUCCGAGGUAACAAAAUGUCAUACCCGGUAAGUUAGGGCACAACAUCUCGUAUUUUUGAGAAUAAGUAUUUUUUUAACUCGUAUUGUGAUUUUUAAAAGAAUACUCCGUUAUUUGGGUUAGAUGAGAAGAAUCGAAACCCAGUAAGUUAGGGCACGAUUAUCUCAAAUUACCAAAUAUAGGAUAUUGCUUUUAUGAAAGAAUUGUUUUAAUAUAUUGAGUAAAAACAUGAUUUGUAGUAAAACAUAAAAGCAAAUUAGGGUCUUAAUAUGUAUAAUAACAUAAUGAUAGUUGUGACAGUGCCAAAAACAAUAAUAUGAGCACUUAUAAGAGAUGGAAUAAUAGCAAGGCUAGUAAUAUGUAAAUAUAAACAAAUACAUGAGGAAAAUGGAAUGAUCGAUUACAUAGGUAAAUAAAUAAACAAAAAUAAAUAAAACAUGGCAAAAAUAAAAAUGACAAUGAUAACGAAAACGAUAAUAAUAGUAAUGACAUAAAUAAUAAUAGUAUAAAACGAUAAUAAUACAUAUGGUAUUGAAAAUAUAUAUAUACGAUAUUUAUUGAAAACAGUAAUAAUAUAUAUAUAAAAACUAAUAAUGACGAUACAUAAAUAUAUACAUAUAUGUAUUAAAAUAUAUACGUCAUGAUAGAAAUAAAAAUAUAUAUAUACGUAGUAUUAAAAAAUGUACAUAAUAUAUAUAAAAAAAUAUAAUAUUAAAAAUGUAUAUACAAUACACAUAUAUUAUAAAUGAUGAUAAUGUUAGAAAACAACUAUUGAAGAUAUUACAUAAUUAUAUGUACAUAUAUGAAAGACAAAUACAUGAUAAUAUUAAAAGUAUUUACAUAGUAUAUGUAUAUAUUAGAAAAUGUAUACAUAAUAUAUAAAAGAAAUAUAUAUGCAUAUAUAAUAUUUAGAAAAGACGAAGUAUACAUAGUAUAAUAUUGAUAUACAUAUAUGCGUAGCAUGGGGUGUAAUUAGAAGUAUAUAUAUGUGACACACCAAUACAUUAUCAAAAGCAAUAAUAUUAAAAGCUAUCAAUAAUGCCAUGUAAUAUAAUAUAUAUAUAUAAAAGUAUCAAGUAAGAAUAAUAAUAAUGGGACACUAAUAAGCAAAAAUAUAAUAAUAACAGUAAUAAAAUAUAAUAGCAUGAAUGGUAUUAAAAUUUAAAAAUAAAAAACGGUAAAAGAAGGACGAAAUUGAAUUGAAAAUGGAAUUUUUGGGACAAAUCGGGAUGGGAUAAAAAUGUAGGGGUUAAAUGCAACAUGCGAGAAGAUGUAGGGGCUAUAUGCGGCAGUAAUUCAAUACCCGAAAUGACACCGCUCAAAAUGUCUAACCCCCAAAUGGUCUGAGGUACGAAUUGAAGCAAAAUCAAAAUUAAAAGGCAGAUUCGAGAAAUGGUCACAGACUAGAUUAAAACCCAACAGAAAUGGGGAGGGACUACGCGAGCAAUUAUCCCAAACAGUAGAAACACACGGAUCCUCAGGCAUCAGGUGGGGUCACGCACGGGUCACGUGAAACGGCGUCGUUUAGGGGCUUAUGGGUGCCGACCAAAACGACGUCGUUUUGUAACAUCUAUAUAAGUUAAAAAAUUUUAACAUCUAUAUAAGUUAAAAAAUUUUCUUUUAAAAUCAUUUUGCUAUCUGUUUCUAAAAAACUAUACUUGUUUUCUUUGUUUUCUCUGCAGGUCCAGGCUCAGUCAGCACUCCGACGAACUGCCACUGCCCUCCGCCGCGUCUCUACCGUCGGCGACCACCGUGCACGGCGGUCAGAGGUAAGAAUCUCCUUCUUUUUUAUUUUUUUCUAUAUUUUAUGUGUUUAUAAUAUAUGUAUAUAUAUAUGCAAAUAGAAGAUUUGAAAAAUGGAAAAGAAAAAGAAAUAAAUCAAAAAAGUGUAUAAAAUAUAAUCACCUUAGUUCUUUAGAUAUCUGAUUCUUGGUAUUUGUUUUCCGAUUUAGUGUUUUUCUCUUUGAUUGGCUAUUUUGUGCUUUGACUCACUUGAUUUUUUGUUUGUAUUUUAAAACCAAAUGUUUUUUUUUAUUUCUCACAAGUGCCGACCUUGUACAAUGGUUUUAGGGGUGGUCUUUUAUAUCCACUUUCCCUUACAACUUGCUCCCUAAUAAAUUGCUCUGUCUUUCUUGCAGAAAAAUAGGUGGUGUUGGUGUCAGGCAGUGGCGGUGGACGUGACAAGCGGUGGCAGACCUGGCACAAGUGGUUAGGCUAGGGUUUCCUUUAGCUUUUGUGUUUUGUGUUUGGAUUGGGACUUUGAUUUGUUUGGACUUGGGGUAUUUUGGGGUUAGUUGGGCUAGGUAGAUUUGGUUUUAAUUUGGGCCCGCAAAUUGGGCUUGUACAAGUGCUAAUACUUUGGUUCUAAUAUAAUAAUAAGACGUUGACAUCCAAUGGCCAUAAGUUGGCAUCCAAUAGUCAUAACUAAAAGUUUGUUUCAAAAUGAAAUAUGUUUC
rnacentral:lncRNA from 1 species